UGUAAUGUAUAAAAUGUGACUUAUAAGAGAUCUUGCAUUAUGAAUAUUUGUUUAAAGGUCUUUGUUUAUUAGCAUGAUCUAGUUGUGUCAGUCUUAACAGUCCAGAUUGUCCAUUGCACUUCCUGCAGAUGGAAUUUCAGUCAACACUGUAAGGACGUACUGCACCGGUGGCGAGGCGUCGAGGAAGCACCUCUUUGUGUUCCUGCCCACCACUUUACUGAACACAUGAAGGUGCUCCAGAGUUUCAAGAAGGGUGGCACACACACUUUGCUGCACUACAAGCUUUUGGAGGUCCAGCGGCACACUGCACACUUCUUUCCUAAACGUGUGUGCAGAGUGCAAGACAGAGUGGCAAGGAUGGAGGAUGCAUCAACAUUCACAGCAUCAUUGGUUCAUGCUUUUUUUCUUUUUUUGUGUGUGUGUGUGUGGAAAGAAGUGCACACAGUUUUAACCGAAGGAUUAUAUGUGUGUGUGUGUGUGUGUGUGUGUGUGGGCAGCUUUAUGGGCAAGUGUGCCAGUCAUUCCUUGAAUUCAAUGUUUUUCAUUUAGGGAAAAAUUGUUGUAUAUAAUUAGGUUUAUAGACAUUUUUGAGUGGGAAUGUUUAGACUGAUUAAAUAGUAAGUUUCUCUACUUUGUAGAGCUUUGCUGUUACUGUUCUGUGUAAGGUUUCAAGGGCCGUAUUCUACAAACCAUCAUAGCUAGUGAUGUGAUUGUAGACAAAAUGGUGCAUUUUAGACACAAGUCCCUCAAUGACAGGCUCUCACCUUGUGACUCGUCAUAAGUUCAGUCUGUUGCAGCGCUGCCAACCACUGUCUUAAAACUCUUCUCAGCAUGGUGAGAGCUUGUUUUAUGUACCAUGGCAUGAUCCCCGACAGUUUUGAUAUUAAUUAAUGAUAAAUAUCUGUAAUGAUGGCUAAAUAAUGUCCUUUGAUGGAGUAAUUUAUCAUUAUAGAUAACUGCCAAGAGGGUGCGAUCAGUUUUCCAAAAACUCAAACAAACCUUGCUCUGAGUGGCUUGCAUGUGUCAUGUGUCAUGUGUCAGGCUGUUGGGCAUAAUCUUAUGUUUGUCAUGUUUCCUUUGUUUGGAUACACAGUCUUACUAUGAUGUCAAAAUAAUUAGAAUUGUAGAAAUUAUGUCAAGGAUCUAUUUCUUUGUAUACUUAUAUAAAGUUGACAAGUGAUGAGCCCAAAGACCAGCAGUGGAGUGACGGUCAGGCAUUCAGUGAGACCUGAGGCUGACUGUGUAGAAUACGGCCCCAGAAGGACGGUCUGUGUUUUGUGUAUUUAUGGUGACAAUGUAGCGUUGCAAGGGACAACAUGCUGUUUGAGACCAAAGCCAUUGUGUAAGAAAUCAUUGUACAGAGUUGAUAGUUCCUCCUAGACUUUGCAAUGAAAUUGCUGUCAAAAUACUAUUAUGUUAUUGUAUUCAUUUUUUUAAUGUUAUAUUAGACAAAUGUAUGGAUGACCUGUUCAUACAGAGACUGCUGCCAUGUAUGUGCAGGCCUCAUGGUCCAUCUUGCAACUUUCCUAAUUUUUUUCUCUAAUACUUUGUAAGGUGAAAAUAUUCCCAGACUAAAAAAUAUAAAAUUGUCCCAAGUUAGAAAUUGCAGAAAUUAUUCUAAGUUGAAAUAUAAAAAUUGUUGUAUGUUGCAAGUUGUAAAAUUUCUGUUGAAAAUUGUUAAAAUUUUCCUAGCUGUUCAAAUUCUAGUGUUGCUUUGUAAAAAUAUCCUAGCUGUUCAAAUUCUAGUGUUGCUUUGUAAAAAUGU
rnacentral:lncRNA from 1 species